CCUACGGGAGGCAGCAGUGAGGAAUAUUGGUCAAUGGUCGGGAGACUGAACCAGCCAAGCCGCGUGAGGGAUGAAGGUACAGAGUAUCGUAAACCUCUUUUGUCAGGGAACAAAGGCGGGGACAUGUCCCCGGAUGAGUGUACCUGAAGAAAAAGCAUCGGCUAACUCCGUGCCAGCAGCCGCGGUAAUACGGAGGAUGCGAGCGUUAUCCGGAUUUAUUGGGUUUAAAGGGUGCGCAGGCGGUCUGUUAAGUCAGCGGUCAAAGCCCGGGGCUCAACCCCGGCCCGCCGUUGAAACUGGCAGUCUCGAGUUGGAGAGAAGUAUGCGGAAUGCGCGGUGUAGCGGUGAAAGGCAUAGAUAUCGCGCAGAACUCCGAUUGCGAAGGCAGCAUGCCGGCUCCACACUGACGCUGAGGCACGAAAGCGUGGGUAUCGAACAGGAUUAGAUACCCUUGUAGUC
rnacentral:rRNA from 1 species